rnacentral:rRNA from 1 species
CGAGCGUUGUCCGGAAUUACUGGGCGUAAAGGGCUCGUAGGUGGUUUGUCGCGUCGUCUGUGAAAUUCCGGGGCUUAACUCCGGGCGUGCAGGCGAUACGGGCAUAACUUGAGUACUGUAGGGGUAACUGGAAUUCCUGGUGUAGCGGUGAAAUGCGCAGAUAUCAGGAGGAACACCGAUGGCGAAGGCAGGUUACUGGGCAGUUACUGACGCUGAGGAGCGAAAGCAUGGGUAGCGAACAGGAUUAGAUACCCUGGUAGUCCAUGCCGUAAACGGUGGGCGCUAGGUGUGAGGGUCUUUUCACGACUUUCGUGCCGUAGCUAACGCAUUAAGCGCCCCGCCUGGGGAGUACGGCCGCAAGGCUAAAACUCAAAGGAAUUGACGGGGGCCCGCACAAGCGGCGGAGCAUGUGGAUUAAUUCGAUGCAACGCGAAGAACCUUACCUGGGCUUGACAUACACUGGAUCGGGCUAGAGAUAGUCUUUCCCUUUGUGGCUGGUGUACAGGUGGUGCAUGGUUGUCGUCAGCUCGUGUCGUGAGAUGUUGGGUUAAGUCCCGCAACGAGCGCAACCCUUGUCUUAUGUUGCCAGCAUUUGGUUGGGGACUCAUGAGAGACUGCCGGGGUCAACUCGGAGGAAGGUGGGGAUGACGUCAAAUCAUCAUGCCCCUUAUGUCCAGGGCUUCACACAUGCUACAAUGGUCGGUACAACGCGCAGCGACACUGUGAGGUGGAGCGAAUCGCUGAAAGCCGGCCUUAGUUCGGAUUGGGGUCUGCAACUCGACCCCAUGAAGUCGGAGUCGCUAGUAAUCGCAGAUCAGCAAUGCUGCGGUGAU